UACGAGGGGGGCGAGCGUGUUCGGAAUUAUUGGGCGUAAAGGGCGCGUAGGCGGUUGGAUAAGUCUUGUGUGAAAUCUUCGGGCUCAACUCGAAGUCUGCACGAGAAACUAUCUGGCUUGAGUGUGGGAGAGGUGAGUGGAAUUCCUGGUGUAGCGGUGAAAUGCGUAGAUAUCAGGAGGAACACCUGUGGCGAAAGCGGCUCACUGGACCACAACUGACGCU
rnacentral:rRNA from 1 species